CCUACGGGGGGCAGCAGUGAGGAAUAUUGGUCAAUGGGCGCGAGCCUGAACCAGCCAAGUAGCGUGAAGGAUGACUGCCCUACGGGUUGUAAACUUCUUUUAUAAAGGAAUAAAGUGAGGCACGUGUGCCUUUUUGUAUGUACUUUAUGAAUAAGCAUCGGCUAACUCCGUGCCAGCAGCCGCGGUAAUACGGAGGAUGCGAGCGUUAUCCGGAUUUAUUGGGUUUAAAGGGUGCGUAGGUUGUUUUUUAAGUCAGCGGUGAAAGUUUGUGGCUCAACCAUAAAAUUGCCGUUGAAACUGGAAGACUUGAGUGUGUUUGAGGUACGCGGAAUGCGCGGUGUAGCGGUGAAAUGCUUAGAUAUCGCGCAGAACCCCGAUUGCGAAGGCAGCGUACCGGCUCCACACUGACGCUGAGGCACGAAAGCGUGGGUAUCGAACAGGAUUAGAUACCCGGGUAGUC
rnacentral:rRNA from 1 species